GUGUUAUGUGCUUGUGUAUAAAGCUAAUAAGAAACUUUAUGAAAUAAAUUUGGUAAGAUAUUGACGAGUACAAUAGAGGAUCAUAGAGGCUUAUGAUGUGAGCUUAUACAAGGGUACAAUUAAGUCUUUUGUUAUUUUCCUUUAUGACUUAUAUGUCUUCUUGUGAAAUGAGGGUGACUGGGUUUAUUUUAUUAAUUGUAAUUACAAAGAAUUUUAUUGAUCACACCACCAU
rnacentral:lncRNA from 1 species